rnacentral:tRNA from 1 species
UCCAAUGUGGCUCAGUGGUAAAGAACCUGCCUGCCGAGCAGGAGACUCAGGUUCAAUCCCUGGGUCAGGAA